UUUAGCUGCCGUCCGCCGCUGUCAUUCGCUCAGUCACCAUCGUCUCCCUCUCUCAUUCUCUCAAGUUGUUUCCGUAGAUAAAAAGCUUAAAUAAAUUCUUCAACUUUCAUUUCAGGUUUUCAAUUACUAUCAAAAAGGUUAAAUUUUUAAAUACUGAAUCUUUUUGUUGUUUCAAAUAAAAUAAUUAUAAUUUUGUUAAAUUUGGAGCAAUCGAAUCAAGGUAAACGGCGGCCAACUCUCUGAACCCAUUCAUCAACCUUAAACCCUAGAGGGAGGAGAACGACGACAACCAUGAAAUGGAUUCUUUUGAGAAACCUUUCUCUCAGAGCUCGUAAUCAUCUUCUUCGUUCACCCCUUUACACAUCCAAUGCCCAUCCUUCAUUCUUCCUCUCACCCCCGACCACCUCUCGCUUCAGGCUCUUCUCUUCCGAUAACGAUUCCCCCCCAAAUGAAGAUUCUCAAGCUGUUACCCAAGCGAAUUUGGUGUCCACUCAGAAGAAAGAAGCUUCUUUAGAGGUCCAAGAUGUAAGCAAUAAAGAAUUUAAAACGCGGAUAGAAAAGUACUUCAAAGGUGACGAGGAAGCACUUUCAUCAAUUCUUGAAGCUAUUCUUCGGAGGAAAUUGGCUGGAAAGCAUGAGGAUACGGAUGAUGAACUUGUUGAAGAACUAAGAAUGAAACCGUUAGAAGAUGUCAAAGACAGAGAGUUUGAAUCUGAUUUUGAAGAACUGCAUGACACGGAUGAAGAGAUUGACGAUCUUUAUUAUGCUAAGAAUUUAGUUAUGGAAAGAAUGGCAAAGGAUGAAUACUUCAACAUGGACGACAAAAAAUGGGAGGAUAUUGUUCAGGAUGCCGUAAACCAUGGGAUCCUGAAUGACACCAAGGAGUGUGAAGCGAUCUUGGAGGAUAUGCUCAAUUGGGACAAGCUUCUUCCAGAUGAUUUGAAGGAAAAAGUAGAAGCAAAGUUCAAUGAGCUGGGGGACUUGUGUGAAAAGGGGGAGCUUGAACCUGAGGAAGCUUACAAUCAGUUUAAAAAAUAUGAAGAUGAGGUGGUCAUGGAAUAUGGAAAAAUGAUGGAGGCAGAAGCUCCAACGUUCGAUGAAACUGAUGUGCAAGACAAUAAAAAGGACUUGGAUGACCCACCAGGUGAAGGGCCAAUUCUUAGAUGGCAAACAAGGGUUGUGUUUGCACCAGGUGGGGAUGCAUGGCAUCCCAAAAACCGAAAAGUGAAAUUAUCUGUUACUGUGAAGGAGCUUGGUUUAUCAAAGUACCAGUUUCGUCGACUGAGGGAGUUGGUUGGCAAGCGCUACCAUCCAGGGAAAGAUGAGCUUACGAUUACUAGUGAGAGGUUUGAACAUAGAGAGGAAAAUAGGAAGGAUUGCCUUAGGACUCUUUUCUCUCUCAUUGAGGAAGCUGGAAAAGCCAACAAACUUGUAGAGGAUGCUCAAACUUUGUACGUGAAGGAGAGGUUGCGGGCAAAUCCUCAGUUUAUGGAGAGGCUGCGGUCCAAGAAAAUGAGCUCGCAAGUAUCAAGCCCUCAACCUGCUUAAUUGUUUGAUUUUUGAUGCUGCUGAAACGAAAAAAGAUAGCUUGGUACAACAUUUCUGGAUGAUAUCUCCUACAAUGAUUGUUUCUUUCCCCUGUUUAGAUUGAAGCUGGGUGAUGUGCUCCAAAAGGAAAAGGCAGUUGACUUGAUUUGUGGGAGGAUUGGUAGUAAGAAAGCAUACGUUCAAGAUGCUAAUGCAUCUGUUUGUGAAUGAUAGCUAAUCGAUUUUAUAAUUAAAAGAAUGUGAACUUAAGCUUAAAGCUUAUAAUAGGUAGUAAUUUGUACCGUUGACAUUUGGAUCUUUGUCUACAUUGGUUGUUGUUGAAGCCUUGUAGACUUUGAUUUUCAACUUGCUUUUUUCGAUCUA